UCCCUUGUGUCUCGAGGCCAAAAAAGCCCAAAACAGAAACAAUACUGUGGCAAAUUCAAUAAAGACUUUAAAAGUGGUCCACAUCAAGGAAUCUUGAAACAGAGGACUCUGAUCCCUCCGUCAGGGGGAAAGACGAAUUCUCCCUUUCCAGCGCCUCCUGACGUCCUCCCUGCUGGCAGUCCUGGCCCUGGCUGUGGCCUCACCUCGAAGGGGACAGGAUGUGUUUCCAGCUGGGCCCCUUCUCCUCCACGUCUUGGCCGGACAGUCCUCUUCCCCACCGCAACCCUGUGGAGAGGAAUACUGCCUUUUAUCAUUUUGCCAGAGAAGGAAAGUGAGCUGGAGAUGCUGAUGGAGUUGCCAAGUUCACGCCCCAAGUCUCUGGCUGAGGUCAAUGCUGUGCCAUGUGUUUUAUGCAGGAGCGCCGUGGAUGGUGCGGAUACAAACGCCCUGUGGCUCUGCCAGACGAGGCUCCCCUUCUGUCAGGACCACGAUCCUCCGCGGGGACCUGGAGGUGGCCCAGGCCGUGUUCCUUGCUCAAGAUGGACUGCUGGCUGGAAAAUGAGCAGAAGAUCUGAUGGCAGGGCUUGGGAAUAGGAACCCAAGUUCUGCCCAAAGCCUAAGGCAUCUAUCUGCACACACCCAGCUUCUCUGGGAAGCCAGCUACGUAUCAGCACAACGCUGAGGUGCCUGGGGCCACUGUGGACUCUCAGAUGCUGUCCUACAACUGGUCUCUCCAUCCUAAUCCCAGGGAAGACAGUUUAGGAGGUGACGCAAUACUGCUGUAGCAGCCCCUAGACAACUUGCCUUCUUCCAAAACCCUCCUGGGCCAAGCUUUCCCGUUCGCACGCUGAAAUAUUAGAUGUUCAGCUGGGAGUCCAACAGCAAAAUAUUUCUGAAAUUGUGCGUGCGUGUGUGUGUUUCUUUCUUUCUUUUUUUUUCUUCUAAUUUAAUGUGCCAGACAAGCCUCCCGGUAAUUAAAACCAGAAACAAGGACCAGACUUAGACAGAGAUUUGAAGGCUGUAAAAUUCUAGGACAGGUUUAUGUAAAGCAAUUAAAAAGGGAGUUAAAAAUUGUUAAAAAAUUAAACACUAAUUACUUUUUUUUCUCCUCUCAUUUCUGCUGAGCUGUUUUGGCCGCGGAGCUCGAAGAAAGAUAUAAAAAGGAGAAAGUUUUGCCUCGUUGCUGUAAAUCAUGUUCAGCAAAUGCGCCUCUGCAGUUUGCAGCCGAACCCAUCUGCUGUCAAUUAACCUAAAUCAUGCCUUUUCAAUUAAACUGGCCUAGGG
rnacentral:lncRNA from 1 species